rnacentral:rRNA from 1 species
UUCCGGUUGAUCCUGCCGGACCUGACUGCUAUCGGAUUGAUACUAAGCCAUGCGAGUCAUUGUAGCAAUACAAGGCAGACGGCUCAGUAACGCGUAGUCAACCUACCCUAUGGACGGGAAUAACCUCGGGAAACUGAGUAUAAUGCCCGAUAGAACACUAUGCCUGGAAUGGUUUGUGUUCCAAAUGAUUUAUCGCCAUAGGAUGGGACUGCGGCCUAUCAGUUUGUUGGUGAGGUAAUGGCCCACCAAGACUAUUACAGGUACGGGCUCUGAGAGGAGUGGCCCGGAGAUGGGUACUGAGACACGGACCCAGGCCCUAUGGGGCGCAGCAGGCGAGAAAACUUUGCAAUGUGCGAAAGCACGACAAGGUUAAUCCGAGUGGUUUGUGCUAAACGAACCUUUUGUCAGUCCUAGAAACACUAACGAAUAAGGGGUGGGCAAGUUCUGGUGUCAGCCGCCGCGGUAAAACCAGCACCUCAAGUGGUCAGGAUGAUUAUUGGGCCUAAAGCAUCCGUAGCCGGCUCUGUAAGUUUUCGGUUAAAUCUGUACGCUUAACGUACAGGCUGCCGGGAAUACUGCAGAGCUAGGGAGUGGGAGAGGUAGACGGUACUCGGUAGGAAGGGGUAAAAUCCUUUGAUCUAUUGAUGACCACCUGUGGCGAAGGCGGUCUACCAGAACACGUCCGACGGUGAGGGAUGAAAGCUGGGGGAGCAAACCGGAUUAGAUACCCGGGUAGUCCCAGCUGUAAACUAUGCAAACUCAGUGAUGCAUUGACUUGUGGUCAAUGCAGUGCUGCAGGGAAGCCGUUAAGUUUGCCGCCUGGGAAGUACGUACGCAAGUAUGAAACUUAAAGGAAUUGGCGGGGGAGCACCACAAGGGGUGAAGCCUGCGGUUCAAUUGGAAUCAACGCCGGA